rnacentral:lncRNA from 1 species
CAAUUCGGUCAGAUCAUGAUGAGGGAAUAUACAUAUGAUGAAUCCAUAUCUUUAUGUAUGAAUUUUCAAUUUCUGUAUAAGUAUUUUAUUAAUAUCACAUUAGUUUUGCUUUUAUACAUUUCUAUGAUUACUAUUACAUGUUUUGUUAAAUUAUAUGAUAUUACAUAAGUCUUUUAUUAAUAUUUNAUGUUGUUAUUUAUUUUGACAGAUAUAUGGUUGAUCAU